ACAUUAGCGUUCUGAAUAUGUUUAGGUUCAGUGCAGUGAUGUUUAUGUUAACAGACGAUGUUUAGGUUCAGUGCAGUGACGUUUAUAUUAGCGUUCAGACGAUGUUAAGGUUCAGUGCAGCGACAGUUACAUUAGCGUUCUGAAUGUGUUUAGGUUCAGUGCAGUGAUGUUUAUGUUAACAGACGACGUUUAGGUUCAGUGCAGUGACGUUUACAUUAGCGUUCAGACGAUGUUAAGGUUCAGUGCAGCGACAUUUACAUUAGCGUUCAGACGAUGUUAAGGUUCAGUGCAGUGACGUUUACAUUAGCGUUCAGAUGAUGUUUAGGUUCAGUGCAGCGAUGUUUACAUUAGCGUUCAGAUGAUGUUUCGGUAGAGUGCAGCGACGUUUACAUUAGCGUUCAGAUGAUGUU